AGUGAACGCUGGCGGUAGGCCUAACACAUGCAAGUCGAACGGCAGCACAGUAAGAGCUUGCUCUUACGGGUGGCGAGUGGCGGACGGGUGAGGGAUACAUCGGAAUCUACUUUUUCGUGGGGGAUAACGUAGGGAAACUUACGCUAAUACCGCAUACGACCUACGGGUGAAAGCAGUGGAUCUUCGGACCUUGCGCGAUUGAAUGAGCCGAUGUCGGAUUAGCUAGUUGGCUGGGUAAAGGCCCACCAAGGCGACGAUCCGUAGCUGGUCUGAGAGGAUGAUCAGCCACACUGGAACUGAAACACGGUCAAGACUCCUACGGGAGGCAGCAGUGGGGAAUAUUAGACAAUAGGGGCAAGCAUUAUCCAGCCAUAGCGCGUGGGUGACAAAGGCCUUCGGUUUUUAAAGCCCUUUUGUUGGGAAAGAAAAGCAGCAGGUUAAUACCCCGCUGUUCUGACGGUACCCAAAGAAUAAGCACCGGCUAACUUCGUG
rnacentral:rRNA from 1 species